AACGAACGCUGGCGGCAGGCCUAACACAUGCAAGUCGAGCGAAGCCUUCGGGCUUAGCGGCGGACGGGUGAGUAACGCGUGGGAACGUGCCCUUUGCUACGGAAUAGCCCCGGGAAACUGGGAGUAAUACCGUAUGUGCCCUUCGGGGGACAGAUUUAUCGGCAAAGGAUCGGCCCGCGUUGGAUUAGGUAGGUGGUGGGGUAAUGGCCUACCAAGCCGACGAUCCAUAGCUGGUUUGAGAGGAUGAUCAGCCACACUGGGACUGAGACACGGCCCAGACUCCUACGGGAGGCAGCAGUGGGGAAUCUUAGACAAUGGGGGAAACCCUGAUCUAGCCAUGCCGCGUGAUCGAUGAAGGCCUUAGGGUUGUAAAGAUCUUUCAGUGGGGAAGAUAAUGACUGUACCCACAGAAGAAGCCCCGGCUAACUCCGUGCCAGCCGCCGCAGUAACAC
rnacentral:rRNA from 1 species